rnacentral:lncRNA from 1 species
AAACGGUGUGAAUAUGUUAAGAUCUGAAUCUAUUAAAUUUAAGUACUGAAUUGGGUUAUCAAAUAGGGCCUUAAUGAAACUGGUUGGGGAAGAUUGCAAUCAUCAAUGCAACAAGAAAGAACUACUAGGAUUCUGCGUGCAAUUUUGACUUGAAGAUGGUAGACUUGCUAUGAAAAAUGAAAAUCAAUCCUACCAGUGGAUGUAAAUUUCUUUUUCUUCCUUUUGUGAUAAAUAUAUGUGAGGUAAGUUAUUAUGUGCAUGUCAUUACAAUUGAAUUGAUGUAGGCGAAGUUAAAAGUUAAUUUGGCAGAGUAAUGAAGAGAUUAUAGAAUUUAAUUAUUAUCAGAUUUUUAUGCAAUUAUCUAAAUUUGACAUUUUUUUAUCGGAUUUAUUACUCUAUCAAGAUGUUGAACUUCUUAAAGUAAUCUAAAAUUGACUAUUCUUUGGCUAAAACUAUUCCCCAAGUCAUUAUUAUAGAUAUUUAGCAAUACACUUAUCAAAUUUCUCUACUGGAUAGUGUCUUAAAGUUGUUGGGAAUGAUCAUUCAAGUCAAUCUGAUUAACCAGAGGUGUGUCUAAAGUUAGUUAUGAAGUGUCAAAUUCAUGCCCUAAUGAAGGCAUAGAAAGAUGAAUGGCGAUGUGUCAUAUGAAGACGAAUACAUUCUUUCAGCAAAUUUCUAAUAAAAAAAAAUUACAAUGUCUAAUUGUAAUUCAAAGUAAUUCCUGUUAUUUCACUAUCAUUAACACCUAAUUUUAUUUUAUUAAAAAAUAAUUGGUAACUUGGAAGAAUUACAAAUGAAGCUAAUACCUUUUGGAAUAUUUUCUGUUUAAUAAUCUUGAAAGUAAAUAAUUGCAUGCAUUUAAUAAUAAAAUAAAUGAUAUUUUAAGAAUAAUAAUUACAUGCUCAACUGUAUUUUGGCUUAAUGGGAACAAAAUCACCGUAUCGUAAGUCCAAAACUAACUCUUCAAAAGAAUAAGAAACACAAUUCCAAAAUCAAAUAAAAUGAGGAGCUAAUAUUUAAUUAAGGAAACCAAAAGAAGCUAGAAAAAAAAAAUAUGAAGCACAUUGGUUAAAGUUUUCCUUUGAGUUCUUAUUACAUACUUUAAUUAGAAAAUCUACACAUUGAUUACUAAAUUUACCGCUUCAGGAUGCUCGUGUAAUUUGACUUACUCUAGGUGCAAAUCUAAAGGAGUUUCAAUUGUAGAUUUUCUGCUUUUAAUGAAUGCCAGUCUGUAACUAAAAGAUAGUAACUUUAUUUAGAGAAACAUUAUUGCAUCAUUAACUAAUAAUAGCACCCCAUGAGUAUGCUUAUAUAAGUAUUUAGCCUCCAACUGAGAAGGAGUACUAAGAAAAACAAUUAAGGUAACAAGUUUAGAAGCUUUUUUUUUUAUAUAAGUACUUUUACUAUUAUUACUCACGUGGUCUGAUUAAACAUUCUCUGAAAUCAACGACGGUAAAAAGUUUAGAAGUUUAGCAAAGUUAGAGCAUGUUUUCUGACUUCAAAAUGAAUCAACUCAUCCGAUGAUUCCCUCAACUAAGUUAGACAUAAUUUAGAAUAGUUAAACCAUUAAAGCUACAAGGGAGGUAUCAAACAACUAAGAAACUGAAAAAAUAAGUAAAAACCCAAGCAUGCAUAAGGUAUCAAACAACCGAGAAAUUGAUUUUGUUCUCCACCUCUUUCUUUCAUUCCCUUGUUCAUUUUUUCCCUUCAAUAGACAGAAUAUAUAAACAGCAGAGGAUAUGGAACAACUAAUCAACUUAUUCUGUUUUUUUUUUCUUUUUCAAUUUCCUUGAAUUUAAAAAUACCUGUUGUUGAUGACUGAUAAGCACUGUAAUUAGCUCUAUUUGAAGAAAUUGACUUCAGAAGCUCUGGCGACCGGCAGGCACCAGCUUCGCCACCUCCUCUAUAAACCGCUUCUUGCACCACUCCUGUAGUUGAAUCUCGGCAAAUUUAUCAAAAUAAAUGCAAAUUUUUCGUGGGAUUUCUUUGAAAAGUAGACCACAAUACAAGCAGAUUUGUGAGAGUCACUACUGAAUGUCUGAGAUAAGAUAGUUCACAGUAGCAGGCCUUCACUUUCUUGCCCACAAAACAAAUGUUGUUUUGUGAAGAAUAAUCUUUUC